rnacentral:rRNA from 1 species
CCUACGGGUGGCAGCAGUGGGGAAUAUUGCACAAUGGGCGAAAGCCUGAUGCAGCAACGCCGCGUGAAGGAAGACGGUCCUCGGAUUGUAAACCUCCGUUCUUAGUGAAGUAUAAUGACGGUAACUAAGGAGCAAGUCACGGCUAACUACGUGCCAGCAGCCGCGGUAAUACGUAGGUGGCAAGCGUUGUCCGGAAUUACUGGGUGUAAAGGGAGCGUAGGCGGGAAGCCAAGUCAGCUGUGAAAACUACGGGCUUAACCUGUAGACUGCAGUUGAAACUGGCUUUCUUGAGUGAAGUAGAGGUUGGCGGAAUUCGGGGUGUAGCGGUGAAAUGCGUAGAUAUUCGGAAGAACACCGAUGGCGAAGGCGGCCAACUGGACUGUAACUGACGCUGAGGCUCGAAAGUGUGGGGAGCAAACAGGAUUAGAUACCCUAGUAGUC